rnacentral:rRNA from 1 species
CGAACGGGAUUAGAUACCCCGGUAGUCCACGCCCUAAACGAUGAACACUAGGUAUUGGAGGUCUCGACCCCUUCAGUGCCGACGCAAAUGCAAUAAGUGUUCCGCCUGGGUAGUACGAGCGCAAGCUUAGGACUCAAAGGAAUAGACGGGGACCCACACAACCGGUGGAGCAUCUGGAUGAAAUCGACAAUAAGCGAGGAACCUUACCAAGGCUUGACAUCCCGAGAAGAUCGCCGAAAGGUGAUUGUGCCGUUAGGAACUCGGUGACAGGUGCUGCAUGGUUGUCGUCAGCUCGUGCCUUGAGGUGUUCGGUUAAGUCCGUGAACGAGCGCAACCCUUGUCUCAAGUUGCAUAUUUCUUGAGAGACUGCCGGUUUCAAAUCGGAGGAAGGUAAGGAUGACGUCAAAUCAGCAUGGCCCUUAUGUAUUGGCCGACACAGGUGCUACAAUGGCCGGUACAAUGGGCAGCGAAGGAGCAAUCUGGAGCAAAUCCUCAAAACCGGUCCAAGUUCGAAUUGAAGGCUGCAACUCGCCUUCAUGAAGUUGGAAUCGCUAGUAACCGCAUAUCAGCCAUGGUGCGGUGAAUCCGUUCCUGGGUCUUGUACUCACCGCCCGUCAAGUCAUGAAAGAUGGGGGUGCCCGAAGUACCCUUA